AUUGAACGCUGGCGGCUUGCCUUACACAUGCAAGUCGAACGGCAGCACGGGAGCAAUCCUGGUGGCGAGUGGCGAACGGGUGAGUAAUAUAUCGGAACGUGCCCAGUCGUGGGGGAUAACGCAGCGAAAGCUGUGCUAAUACCGCAUACGAUCUAUGGAUGAAAGCGGGGGAUCGCAAGACCUCGCGCGAUUGGAGAGGCCGAUAUCAGAUUAGCUAGUUGGUGGGGUAAAGGCCCACCAAGGCGACGAUCUGUAGCUGGUCUGAGAGGACGACCAGCCACACUGGAACUGAGACACGGUCCAGACUCCUACGGGAGGCAGCAGUGGGGAAUUUUGGACAAUGGGCGCAAGCCUGAUCCAGCAAUGCCGCGUGCAGGAUGAAGGCCUUCGGGUUGUAAACUGCUUUUGUACGGAACGAAACGGUCCUUUCUAAUACAGAGGGCUAAUGACGGUACCGUAAGAAUAAGCACCGGCUAACUACGUGCCAGCAGCCGCCGUAA
rnacentral:rRNA from 1 species